AACUUAUUCCAUUCAUGUGAUACAACAAUGUCGUGAAGAGCAAUCAUUCACUAAAUUGAUUAUCUCUUUUCUUUUUUGGCUGAAAUGUAACUUUUUUCAUAGCAUCUUGAAUUCUAUAAAAGCAAGCAGUAGAGUCCUCUUCCUAACAAACAACUGCAGCUCUUUGAUAACGAUCUUCAACCACAUAUUAACAUGUGUCUCUGCAUCAAAUGCAAAUGCUUUAGCUGCGAAGAUUCAAGCGGGCAAGAGAAGAAGGAACCAGACUGUCUUGAUUUGAUCCUGGCAAUCUUGGUGCCCCCAGUUGGGGUAUAUAAAAAGGAAGGGGGGUGCACGAUAAUUACAGGCCAAUUUCUGGGUAAAUGUAGCUCUGACGGCAUUAGGAUAUGCGCCAGGAAGCAUCCAUGCUGCCAUUUCCAUAUCAACAAACUGAACAGCAUAAUCGUACUUGUAAUUUAUCACUAGUCAUUUCAAUUGUCAACAAAAUAUGUAUAAUUACUUUAAGAAUUGUCAUAUCAAAGUCCUUCAUUCGUAUCUGUUAAUGGCAUCUCGUUCGUGCUUCUUGAUACAAUGAAGUGAAAGCAAGUGAAGAAAUUUUAUUUUACUUUUGCAUGUUAUCCGUAGUGUGUUUUAGCCCCCUCAA